GAAAGUAUUUCUUUUUUUUUUUUUUAAAUAAGAAUGUUUUAUCAUCACUAGCACCAUGUGCACCCAAGAAAUUGUUAGUGUUCCUGAUAGUUAUCCUAAAAUUAGAUGAAUCAGACCUGACAGAGAACUGCAGUACAGGGAGUGCUACAUUAAUUUCAACCACUCCUUUUUAUGUCCUGUCUAGCAAAACACAAACAAACAAAACAAUAAUCAAAGCACCCCCCCACACACACACCAUGAAUGUUUUAAGCAUUUUAAGAUGCAAAGUGUGUUGGGAGGAACAGCAGAAGGCAAGAGAACAAUGAAACAAUAAAAACUCUAUACUAACCAAAUCUUUCAACCUUAAAACAAUGAAAAGAUUGGGAGUUAGAAAAGCCAUUGUCUGCCAUUUGUACAGAAGGAGAGAGGGAAAUCAAUAUUUAUUUCUUGGAGAGUGCCAGCCCCAGCAUGUGGUAUUGAUACUUUCAACGGGAUAGAAAGGCUUUUCAUGACAAACCUUUCACUCUUCCACCAUUAGAGAAUCUGUGCAUUAGCUUGAAUAUUACCUGGCAACGUUGCUCUUGUUUAAUGUGUCCUUUUGGGGAGUUUUAUGUUGUUUUUAUCGAUGUUACCAGUAGAACAUUUUAAAUUGCUGUAGCUUUUUAAAUGCAAAUGAAUGAAUAAAUGAAAGGCUCCCACUGCCACAUGCAAACGCAUUUGCAACCAAAGGGUGCCUCAGCGAAGUCAUGCUGGCCCUGGGUGAUGGGACCUGCUUUAUCCACACCAAAAGCCUCAGGCAUUUGCUGUCUGCAGCACUUUCCAGAGAGUAAAGUCACCUGAAGGAAUAAUGUGACACACCCUUACAGCGCUCAACAUCCAACCAUCUGUGGGCUAUCCACGUGAAACUGGUGGGAAGAUUUUCAGCAGCCCUGGGAUGUUAUUAUCAGACUAGCUAGACUGCCACAGCAUGGAAGGAAUAGAGGUCAAGAGCAAUGAGGAAUUGAUUCCUCCACCCCUCGUUACCACCAGUCCUUCGAAGUCAGAUAUUGCCAAUCUAUGUCAAACUGGCUGGAGGCUUUUAGAGGCACACAAUGAUCACAACACAGCUGCCACAGAUUUCGUCAAUGCAAACAGAGUGUAUAAGGAUUUUUGUUGUACGAUAAAUAGUUUAACUAUCACAGACAGUGCAGUGCACAAAUAAAUAAAUAAAUGAGGUGACAAUCUAGAUGGUCUUAGAUAA
rnacentral:lncRNA from 1 species